rnacentral:siRNA from 1 species
ACUGUCCCUGUCUACUAUCCAG